CCUACGGGAGGCAGCAGUGGGGAAUAUUGCACAAUGGGGGAAACCCUGAUGCAGCGACGCCGCGUGAGCGAAGAAGGUUUUCGGAUCGUAAAGCUCUGUCCUUGGGGAAGAAAAUGACGGUACCCAAGGAGGAAGCCCCGGCUAACUACGUGCCAGCAGCCGCGGUAAUACGUAGGGGGCGAGCGUUGUCCGGAAUUACUGGGCGUAAAGGGUACGUAGGCGGUCAAUUAAGUCAGGUGUAAAAGGCAUAGGCUCAACCAAUGUAAGCACUUGAAACUGAAUGACUUGAGUAUAGGAGAGGUAAGCGGAAUUCCUAGUGUAGCGGUGAAAUGCGUAGAUAUUAGGAGGAACACCAGUGGCGAAGGCGGCUUACUGGACUAUUACUGACGCUGAGGUACGAAAGCGUGGGGAGCAAACAGGAUUAGAUACCCUGGUAGUCCACGCCGUAAACGAUGAGUGCUAGGCGUCGGCGAGAGAUCGUCGGUGCCGGAGUUAACGCAAUAAGCACUCCGCCUGGGGAGUACGGUCGCAAGAC
rnacentral:rRNA from 1 species